rnacentral:rRNA from 1 species
CCUACGGGUGGCAGCAGUGAGGAAUAUUGGUCAAUGGACGCGACUCUGAACCAGCCAAGUAGCGUGCGGGAUGACGGUCCAGAGUGUUGUAAACUUCUUUUGUCAGGGAAUAAACUCAGUCACGCGUGCCUGGUUGAGUGUACCGCAUGAAUAAGCACCGGCUAAUUCCGUGCCAGCAGCCGCGGUAAUACGGAGGGUCCGAGCGUUAUCCGGAUUUAUUGGGUUUAAAGGGAGCGCAGGCGGGCCGUUAAGCGUGUUGUGAAAGGCCGGGGCUCAACCGUGGCACCGCGGUGGGAACUGGCAGGCUCGAGUUGGACAGAGGUAGGCGGAAUUCGUGGUGUAGCGGUGAAAUGCAUAGAUAUCGCGCAGAACUCCGAUUGCGAAGGCAGCAUGCCGGCUCCACACUGACGCUGAGGCUCGAAGGCGCGGGUAUCGAACAGGAUUAGAUACCCCAGUAGUC